rnacentral:rRNA from 2 species
UAGCGGUGGACGCCCGAGUAACACGUGGGUAACCUGCCUGUAAGACUGGGAUAACUCCGGGAAACCGGGGCUAAUACCGGAUGCUUGUUUGAACCGCAUGGUUCAAACAUAAAAGGUGGCUUCGGCUACCACUUACAGAUGGACCCGCGGCGCAUUAGCUAGUUGGUGAGGUAAUGGCUCACCAAGGCAACGAUGCGUAGCCGACCUGAGAGGGUGAUCGGCCACACUGGGACUGAGACACGGCCCAGACUCCUACGGGAGGCAGCAGUAGGGAAUCUUCCGCAAUGGACGAAAGUCUGACGGAGCAACGCCGCGUGAGUGAUGAAGGUUUUCGGAUCGUAAAGCUCUGUUGUUAGGGAAGAACAAGUACCGUUCGAAUAGGGCGGUACCUUGACGGUACCUAACCAGAAAGCCACGGCUAACUACGUGCCAGCAGCCGCGGUAAUACGUAGGUGGCAAGCGUUGUCCGGAAUUAUUGGGCGUAAAGGGCUCGCAGGCGGUUCCUUAAGUCUGAUGUGAAAGCCCCCGGCUCAACCGGGGAGGGUCAUUGGAAACUGGGGAACUUGAGUGCAGAAGAGGAGAGUGGAAUUCCACGUGUAGCGGUGAAAUGCGUAGAGAUGUGGAGGAACACCAGUGGCGAAGGCGACUCUCUGGUCUGUAACUGACGCUGAGGAGCGAAAGCGUGGGGAGCGAACAGGAUUAGAUACCCUGGUAGUCCACGCCGUAAACGAUGAGUGCUAAGUGUUAGGGGGUUUCCGCCCCUUAGUGCUGCAGCUAACGCAUUAAGCACUCCGCCUGGGGAGUACGGUCGCAAGACUGAACUCAAAGGAAUUGACGGGGGCCCGCACAGCGGUGGAGCAUGUGGUUUAAUUCGAGCAACGCGAAGAACCUUACCAA